AACGAACGCUGGCGGCAUGCCUAACACAUGCAAGUCGAACGAGAUCUUCGGGUCUAGUGGCGCACGGGUGCGUAAUGCGUGGGAAUCUGCCCUUUGGUUCGGAAUAACAGUUGGAAACGACUGCUAAUACCGGAUGAUGACGAAAGUCCAAAGAUUUAUGGCCAGAGGAUGAGCCCGCGUAGGAUUAGCUAGUUGUUGUGGUAAAGGCGCACCAAGGCGUCGAUCCUUAGCUGGUCUGAGAGGAUGAUCAGCCGCUGUGUGACUGUGACACGGCCAAGAAUCAUACUGGAAACAGCGAGGGGGAAUAUUGGAGAAUGUUAUAAAGCCUGAUCCAGAAAUGCUGGGUGAGUGAUGAAGUCCUGAUAAUUGUAGAGCUCUUUCAUACGGGAUUAUCAUGCCAGUACCGGGUGAAUAAGCUCCCGCUAACUCCCUACAGCCGCCGCCGUAA
rnacentral:rRNA from 1 species